rnacentral:rRNA from 1 species
UCUUCGGAUGGAAUCGAUAAGUUCUAGCGGCGGACGGGUGAGUAACGCGUGAGCAACCUGCCCUCCACAGGGGGAUAACGCACCGAAAGGUGCACUAAUACCGCAUAAGACCACGUUUCUGACAUGGGGGAUGAGGCCAAAAGGAGCAAUCCGGUGGAAGAUGGGCUCGCGUCUGAUUAGCUAGUUGGUGAGGUAACGGCCCCACCAAGGCGACGAUCAGUAGCCGACCUGAGAGGGUGAUCGGCCACAUUGGAACUGAGAGGACGGUCCAAACUCC